rnacentral:ncRNA from 1 species
AUAUUUGAGAGUUUGAUCCUGGCUCAGGAUGAACGCUGGCGGCGUGCCUAACACAUGCAAGUCGAGCGAUCUCUUCGGAGAGAGCGGCGGACGGGUGAGUAACGCGUGGGUAACCUGCCCUGUACACACGGAUAACAUACCGAAAGGUAUACUAAUACGGGAUAACAUACGAAAGUCGCAUGGCUUUUGUAUCAAAGCUCCGGCGGUACAGGAUGGACCCGCGUCUGAUUAGCUAGUUGGUAAGGUAAUGGCUUACCAAGGCAACGAUCAGUAGCCGACCUGAGAGGGUGAUCGGCCACACUGGAACUGAGACACGGUCCAGACUCCU